rnacentral:rRNA from 1 species
GACGAACGCUGGCGGCGUGCCUAAUACAUGCAAGUAGAACGCACAGUUUAUACCGUAGCUUGCUACACCAUAGACUGUGAGUUGCGAACGGGUGAGUAACGCGUAGGUAACCUGCCUGGUAGCGGGGGAUAACUAUUGGAAACGAUAGCUAAUACAGCAUAAUAUUAAUUAUUGCAUGAUAAUUGAUUGAAAGAUGCAACUGCAUCAAUACCAGAUGGACCUGCGUUGUAUUAGCUAGUAGGAGAGGUAACGGCUCACCUAGGCGACGAUACAGAGCCGACCUGGGAGGGUUGUCGGCCCCACCUGGACUUGGACCCCGCCCCGACUCCUUCGGGAGGCAGCAGUAGGGAAUCUUCGGCAAUUGACCAAAGUCUGACCGAGCCACGCCGCGUGAGUGGAGAAGGUUUUCGGAUCGUAAAGCUCUGUUGUAAGAGAAGAACGGGUGUGAGAGUGGAAAGUUCACACUGUGACGGUAUCUUACCAGAAAGGGACGGCUAACUACGUG